CAAUAGCGUAUAUUAAAGUUGUUGCGGUUAAAAAGCUCGUAGUUGGAUUUCUGCCUAGUGCGACCGGUCCGCCAUCUGGCUGGUAUCUGGCUCGCUCUGGUCAUUUUCCUGAGGACAUGGCUGCGCCUUGUUGUGUGGCCUGUUUCUCGGGUCAUUUACUUUGAGGAAAUUAGAGUGUUUCAAGCAGGCGAUUGCCUUGAAUACAUUAGCAUGGAAUAAUACAAUAGGACUUCGGUUCUGUUUUGUUGGUUUCUGGAGCUGAGGUAAUGAUUAAUAGGGAUAGUCGGGGGCAUUCGUACUUAACUGUCAGAGGUGAAAUUCUUGGAUUUGUUAAAGACGAACUAGUGCGAAAGCAUUUGCCAAGGAUGUUUUCAUUGA
rnacentral:rRNA from 1 species